rnacentral:rRNA from 1 species
CCUACGGGAGGCAGCAGUAGGGAAUAUUGCUCAAUGGGGGAAACCCUGAAGCAGCAACGCCGCGUGGAGGAUGAAGGUUUUCGGAUUGUAAACUCCUUUUGUUAGAGAAGAUAAUGACGGUAGCUAACGAAUAAGCACCGGCUAACUCCGUGCCAGCAGCCGCGGUAAUACGGAGGGUGCAAGCGUUACUAGGAAUCACUGGGCGUAAAGAGCGCGUAGGCGGGAUAGCAAGUCAGAUGUGAAAUCCUAUGGCUUAACCAUAGAACUGCAUUUGAAACUGUUAUUCUAGAGUAUGGGAGAGGUAGGUGGAAUGCUUGGUGUAGGGGUAAAAUCCGUAGAGAUCAAGAGGAAUACUCAUUGCGAAGGCGACCUGCUGGAACAUUACUGACGCUGAUGCACGAAAGCGUGGGGAGCAAACAGGAUUAGAUACCCGUGUAGUC